rnacentral:rRNA from 1 species
AUGGGUGGUAGGACGCCAGAAACAAUUCUGACGGACCAAAACAGAGCAAUGGAGGUUGCAAUAAGGAAUGUGAUGCCAGACACAGCUCACCGCUGGUGCAAAUGGCAUGUUCUUAAGAAGGCAAAGGAGUCGCUUGGGCCAUUGUACUCAAAAAAUAGUGAUUUCCGACCAGAGUUCCACAAGGUUGUCAACCACAUGCUAACCAUAGAUGAGUUUGAAGAAGGUUGGAAGUACCUUGUUGAUAAGUACAACUUGAAAAGUCACGAUUACAUGACUAAUUUGUACGAGAUACGGCACAAGUGGGCAAAGCCGUACUUCAAGGGUGUGUUCUGCGCAAAAAUGACUAGUACUCAACGGAGUGAAAGCGCGAACCACAUGUUGAAGAACUACGUGCCACCCGGUUGCCCAAUGCACAUCUUUGUGAGGAAGUAUAUGAGUUUGAUUUUUGACAGGGAGUCAGAGGAAAAUUACGAGGAGAAGCGGACAGCAAUUGGGAGGCCACUUAUGCGUGCAAACAUGGCAACAGAAAGACAUGCUGGUCAGAUAUACACUAGAGCUAUGUUCGAACAAUUUGGGCAUAUACUUUACGAGUCUGGUGCAUAUCAAGUGGAAGAGAUCGAAAAGGGUAAAGAGUAUGUUGCAAUACAUACAGACGCUGCACGGAGGGAGAAAUGGUGCAGAACUUCAUACAAUGUGACUGUGCUCGAAGGAGGGGGGAGUUUGAUUGUGAGUGUCGUCAGUUUGCACACAUGGGGCUGCUAUGUAGCCACAUCCUGA